UGGGGAAUUUUGCACAAUGGGGGAAACCCUGAUGCAGCGACGCCGCGUGAUUUAGUAGGCCUUCGGGUUGUAAAAAUCUUUUGUAUGGGAAGAAAAUGACAGUACCAUACGAAUAAGGACCGGCUAAUUACGUGCCAGCAGCCGCGGUAAUACGUAAGGUCCGAGCGUUGUCCGGAAUCAUUGGGCGUAAAGGGUACGUAGGCGGAUAAGCAAGUUAGAAGUGAAAUCCUAUAGCUCAACUAUAGUAAGCUUUUAAAACUGCUCAUCUUGAGGUAUGGAAGGGAAAGUGGAAUUCCUAGUGUAGCGGUGAAAUGCGCAGAUAUUAGGAGGAAUACCGGUGGCGAAGGCGACUUUCUGGCCAUAUACUGACGCUGAGGUACGAAAGCGUGGGUAGCAAACAGG
rnacentral:rRNA from 1 species